UACGUAGGUGGCAAGCGUUGUCCGGAAUUACGGGGCGUAAAGAGCGCGUAGGCGGGCGAUCAAGUCAGGGGUGAAAUCCUCCGGCUCAACCGGAGAACUGCCUUUGAUACUGGUCAUCUCGAGUGAGGUAGGGGCAUGCGGAACUGAUGGUGGAGCGGUGAAAUGUGUUGAUAUCAUCAGGAACUCCGGUGGCGAAAGCGGCGUGCUGGACCUUUACUGACGCUGAUGCGCGAAAGCCAGGGGAGCGAACGGG
rnacentral:rRNA from 1 species